UACGUAGGGUGCAAGCGUUGUCCGGAAUUAUUGGGCGUAAAGAGCUCGUAGGCGGUCUGUCGCGUCGGCUGUGAAAUCCCGAGGCUCAACCUCGGGUCUGCAGUCGAUACGGGCAAACUGGAGUGUUGCAGGGGAGACUGGAAUUCCUGGUGUAGCGGUGAAAUGCGCAGAUAUCAGGAGGAACACCGGUGGCGAAGGCGGCAUCCUGGACCAACACUGACGCUGAGGAGCGAAAGCCAGGGGAGCAAACGGG
rnacentral:rRNA from 1 species